rnacentral:rRNA from 1 species
UACGUAGGGACCAAGCGCUGUUCGGAUUUACUGGGCGUAAAGGGCGCGUAGGCGGCGCGGUAAGUCACUUGUGAAAUCUCUGAGCUUAACUCAGAACGGCCAAGUGAUACUGCAGUGCUAGAGUGUGGAAGGGGCAAUCGGAAUUCUUGGUGUAGCGGUGAAAUGCGUAGAUAUCAAGAGGAACACCUGAGGUGAAGACGGGUUGCUGGGCCAACACUGACGCUGAUGCGCGAAAGCCAGGGGAGCAAACGGG